GGCAGCCUCAUUUGCUGCAGUUUUUGUCCAUAAUGAAAGCUUGUCCUGCCUUUGGCGAACACUCGCAACUACACCACAUAUAUCCUCAGCAUCGUCGAAUUGCUCCCCAAUUAAAGCCAUAAGCUGCACAACAUGAAUGAAAAAAUUUAGAACAAUUACAAAGUAACACAUCUUUCACAUUACAUAAAACAAACAAGUUAAAGAUUAAAAAACAAUUACUGUUUCAAGCCACAUGGUAUCAAGGUUAGUCUUUCUGUUGCUAACAACAGUCCACUUUCCUCCAUUGGCACACUCAGGAUCUUCCCAUUUUGGUUCAACCCCAGUCUUGAACAAAUGGAAGUCAACAUUCCCAACCAACUUGCUGGGCUUGAAUAUUUGAUCAUAUAAACUGCACCAACAUUUUCACAUCAACUUUAUUGAAUUAUUUUAACCAAGACCAUAUUGUGUCAACAAAAAUGACAACAUAAAAAGGAAAUUAUACUUACCCCGGAUAUUUAACACAAUUUUUUAUGCAAGUGGUGGAGUUAAUGCAAUUCAAAUCACCAAAACUGAAUCUUAAGGGGUGAAUAUAGAGCAAUUAAGCCAAAGGGUCGAUGUAAUUUCUAGAAAUAAAAAUAGAAGUAACAUAAAACCCAGAAUUAUUAGCAACAAGACCGAGACACCAGAGCGGUCUCACUCCAGGAUCCAUAAAAAUAAAAAAUUAGAUAGAAAACUUGAAUUCCAAUGAAGACCCAAUCCAUACAACAACAACAAACAAGGCUUUAUCUCACUAGGUGGGGUUGGCUAUGGAUCAAAUGGUGCCAUAAUGCUCCAACAUCGACAAAACAUUUAUCUGUAAGUUUUUCUUAAUCAUUCCAGCUAGUGGGAUAGAGGCUUAACGAAGACCCAAUUGAUAAAAAUAAAAUAACAAGAAAAAAGGAAUUGAGGGGAAAAGAAGAUCUAGAAGGGGGAAAACACGCACCACCAGAAUUCUUGGACGGUGUCGAAGGUGUAGAUCUUGCGAAGCAUAUAUAUAUAUAUAUAUAUGAAGGAUUUAAUAUGUAUACACUGACAGUGUAAGAGCUUCUUCCACUGUCAGCAAAUGUCAGCAAAUCAUCCACCACUGAUUUCUUAACUAACAUUGACUCUCAAACAAAAGUAAAACUUUACACUGUUAGUGCAUAGAUUUUAAACUCAUAUAUGAAUAACAAUUCAUAAGCCAUAAUAUUAAAGAUACUCAUAAUAAUAAACAUACUAUAUGAAUAUCAUAAAUUCAAGUCCUAAAGGUAAACACAUCAUAACCUAUAAGUCAUAAUAGCAAAAUAACACAACUACACAAAUUCCAAGUAAAAAGGGGUUUAACAGCCACUGACACUGUUCACGUUUUAAUUAAGUUUAUGGAUUAAAAAAGUCAUUGGGAAUAACAGACUAGGUUAACAGUAUGUUUUUUAUAAAUAAGAAAAAAAGAAUUUUUAGGGUUUUCAACAAACCAGGUCGCACAUGACCUGGUUAGCUUCUUCUCUACCACCGACGAACGCAACUAGAGUUGAAGCUCAAGUUGCAGAAUUGCACGAUGAAAAAGAGAAAGUGAAGUAGAGAUAGAGAGUGGGAGAGAUUUAGGAAUGGUGGGCUCAUCGAUUCCACCGGUUUUACACACGCACAUGACUAUCCCACCCGAUCCUACGGAGGCGUGCCCAAGACUGAGAUCGAGCAUGGGCUGGGGGUCAAAGAUUGUAAGAUUGUGCAAUCUCACGAGUAGGAUCACGAUUUUCAUUAGCAUGCCCUCCAGCACCAUAAGAUGUCUUUUCCUUUUCCUACAUUGAUUUUAAAGGCCUUCACAUGCAUGCCAUUAUCAAGUAACACAAUAUGAAAUCACAUGCAGCCAAGAUAAUAAAGUAGCAAGAAUCAUUUGUAUAAACAUAAUAACAUACCUGGGCAGCCUCAUUUGCUGCAGUUUUUGUCCAUAAUGAAAGCUUGUCCUGCCUUUGGCGAACACUCGCAACUACACCACAUAUAUCCUCAGCAUCGUCGAAUUGCUCCCCAAUUAAAGCCAUAAGCUGCACAACAUGAAUGAAAAAAUUUAGAACAAUUACAAAGUAACACAUCUUUCACAUUACAUAAAACAAACAAGUUAAAGAUUAAAAAACAAUUACUGUUUCAAGCCACAUGGUAUCAAGGUUAGUCUUUCUGUUGCUAACAACAGUCCACUUUCCUCCAUUGGCACACUCAGGAUCUUCCCAUUUUGGUUCAAC
rnacentral:lncRNA from 1 species